UAGGGAAUUUUGCGCAAUGGGGGAAACCCUGACGCAGCGACGCCGCGUGAGUGAUGAAGGCCUUCGGGUUGUAAAGCUCUGUCAGAUGGGACGAAUGUUUUCAGGUCAAAUAGGCCUGGGAAGUGACGGUACCAUCGGAGGAAGCACCGGCUAACUCUGUGCCAGCAGCCGCGGUAAUACAGAGGGUGCAAGCGUUAAUCGGAAUUACUGGGCGUAAAGAGUGCGUAGGCGGUUAGGUAAGUUAUCUGUGAAAUCCCUGGGCUUAACCUAGGUAGGAAAGAUAAAACUGCUUGACUAGAGUGUGGUAGAGGAUAGUGGAAUUUCCGGUGUAGCGGUGAAAUGCGUAGAGAUCGGAAGGAACACCAGUGGCGAAGGCGGCUAUCUGGACCAACACUGACGCUGAGGCACGAAAGCGUGGGGAGCAAACAGG
rnacentral:rRNA from 1 species